UGGGGAAUUUUGGACAAUGGGGGAAACCCUGAUCCAGCCAUCCCGCGUGUGCGAUGAAGGCCUUCGGGUUGUAAAGCACUUUUGGCAGGAAAGAAACGUCGCGGGUUAAUACCCCGCGGAACUGACGGUACCUGCAGAAUAAGCACCGGCUAACUACGUGCCAGCAGCCGCGGUAAUACGUAGGGUGCAAGCGUUAAUCGGAAUUACUGGGCGUAAAGCGUGCGCAGGCGGUUCGGAAAGAAAGAUGUGAAAUCCCAGAGCUUAACUUUGGAACUGCAUUUUUUAACUACCGGGCUAGAGUGUGUCAGAGGGAGGUGGAAUUCCGCGUGUAGCAGUGAAAUCGUAGAUAUGCGGAGGAACACCGAUGGCGAAGGCAGCCUCCUGGGAUAACACUGACGCUCAUGCACGAAAGGUGGGGAGCAAACAGGAUUAGAUACCCU
rnacentral:rRNA from 1 species